CUCAGAGCCUGCUGGUGGUUCUGCUGGUGCUGCUGGUUCUGGUGGUGCUGCUGGACCAUACUGCAGUCGAUGAGGCAGACCAGCAGGGGGCGCCACAGAGCCUGAGAUGCCGCAGUACCUGUUCACCUCCCUGACAGGACCAGUCAUCCACCUCCAGACCAUCCUCCUCUGGGUCAGUGAAAACGACGGGGCCCCUCCCUGCCCAGACUGUGGAGGAUCUGUGAAGGCCCCUAACCUGUGCAAGGGCCUCGUUGUUUGUGAGGAGAUGGAACCCCUACGAACAGAUCUUAAAAACAUACUGGAUGCACUGAAAGCUGAAUUUUAGUCUGUACUGGUUUAAAAUGAGGGCUGACCAGUAUCUGUCCUGGUCGCCCACAGCUGCCUGCAGGAUGUAUUUCAGCCUUCUCACCUGGUUAAUCACGUUUCUACAGCCAUCUGAAUCUCAGGUUCCACACCGCAGGCUUCUGGUGUUGUGAAGGGGUUCCUGUCCUGGAUGAAGCAGUUGUAUAGGGGUGCUUGUUGUGCAGUGAUGGCGGCAGGAGGGUUGAGCUGCCCUGAGCCAGUUAGGAGAGAUCAGGCAGGGAUGCCUUGCUUCAGGACAGCUUCACACUGUUGCCAUUGAGCUUCUUCUCUGCAGACUGAGGAGCAGGCUGAGGAGUCUCACUCUGCCAGAGCUCAGAGACCUCCUGGUGUCCUUUCAGCAUUUGUGGAUGAUGUUACUGUGUUUGUCCAGGAUGAGUGAGAUGCGCAGGAAUUAAAAGAAAGCCUGGUUUUAUAUGAAAAAAGCUUCUUCAG